AUCAUCUGUUUGCUUCUGGUCACACCCUAUCAUCACCAGCAGCACCCUUCACCUUUUCUGCUCUGCUUCUGUAAAAUCGUUAUUUUCUCCACCUCUAUAUAGUCACAACACCCACCAGCGACCUACACUAUUACGUUGGUGCAAUGAAAGAAACACUCAUCACAUGUAAAGCCACACUCAUUCAAUAAGACCAACCCCCCUCAUAUCCCGUUUCAUUCAAAGUUUGAAACCCUAUCCCUUUCUCUCUCUGUAACCCUUUUCGUCUCACGACACCCUUCCACACUAUGCCUCCUUUUCCAUUCUGUAUGUGCUUUUUUUAUUAGAAGAAGAUGGUGAGUAGAAACAUUUUCCAGAAUCAACUUUGAUAUGGAAUGUGUUAUUUUUCUACAAUUGGUUUAAAAUGUGUGUGUGUGUGUGUGUUUUUUUUUGUGUUUACUUUCAGUUGAAUGAAGAAAGGUGAUGAAGGAGUUCAGAUCCUCAUGACACAUCUGAAGAUUGAUCCAGUAAGCAUCAUCUACGUCUUUCCAAUCAAUUUCUAUUUUUGUUUUUUUAUUUCUUACAAUUUAUCAUUUCUUUUGCUCCCCACAUGAGGCCUGGAGAAUGAAACACUUACUACAUAUAUCCAAGCCAAUAUGAUUGUCAGAACCAUCACUAAUGUUGGUGCUAUUAUAAGUGUAAAGCAUGAUCCUGAGAUUAAUAACCGCCUAUUUGCCAUUUGCUUAUCAUUCAUACACAUAGUUCAAACUAUUAGCUUUCUUAGGUUCGAAAUAUUCUUUCUAAUAUGUUUAUGUUUACAAUUUUCUUUUACAAUUUGUUAUCUCUCUUCUUUAUGAUUUGACAUAAGUGUUUGAAAAAGUAUUUUCAGAUCUAGAUGAAGAUGAACAAGAACGGGAAUGAAAAAGGGUUUAUAAUGCUUUUCAGAUUGCAUGAGGUAGCAAGGUAUUUUAUUUAUUUUUGAAAUGUAUUGAAGGAGUAAGUUGUUGUAUAUUAUGUAUGCAAGUUUUUUAAUGUUUUGUCUUUUCCGUGUCCUUUAAUUUGUAUUAUUAAAUUUAUAUUUCAAUUUUUUUCUAGCUAGAUAUUGUUGACUAAGAUAUGUUUGUUUUAGUUACUAUUUUAUUUUGUUGAGAUUUAGAUAAAUAUUGUUGAUGAGGAGGUUCUUUUUCAAGAAAAAGAAAAAACAGUGGCCAAGAAGCACCAGGUGUUGGCAAG
rnacentral:lncRNA from 1 species